GGUGACAGGUGAACAGUAGAUGGGUCGGUCUGCCCAGGUGGACGUGAGACCUACCGUGUGGUCGCUGUGCAUAUGAGACAGGAAGAAGAGUCGCGUCUCUGGACACUUGCGAACUUUCCAGAAGUCAACAGCCAGCGGAGUGUUUGGAAUGACUUUGCCAUUAGACAUCGCAUCAGCCUUCACGAAUUAAUUGCAAGUACUGGAUAAGAUUUUGGCAUAAAGAUCAUGCCUUCAGCAAUCAUCCACCCGGCCCAAUUAUCCUCAGUUGUGUCUGCUGCUCCUGCUGCUGCUGAUGGGUAUGGUGAAAGGGUGGAGGGAGGGUUCACUGCUGGGCCUCAGCCGUCAAGGUAAUUACAAGGUAAAAAGUAAAUUACAAAAAUAAAACAUUUCAUUCUUAUUAUAUUGCAAAUCAAGAGUCUCAAACUACAAAAAUGUGAAAUAAAAAGGAGGGAAUUGUGAGUCAUGAGUCGGUUUAGCCUUGACUGCUAGUUGAGUGAUGGUGGGAUAUGAUGAUUAAGUGUUAAUUUUUGUCAACAAAACAUGGAAAAGAGAAAGUCAAAGCCAUCAGGUGCACAAAUUUUACUUUUUUACU